rnacentral:rRNA from 1 species
AAUCAACGCUGGCGGCGUGCCUAACACAUGCAAGUCGAACGCGAAAGCCCGCAAGGGUAAGUAGAGUGGCGCACGGGUGAGUAACACGUGGACAACCUGCCUUCGAGUGGGGAAUAACCUUCCGAAAGGAGGGCUAAUACCGCAUAACACCUCGGGACACAAGUUCUGGGGUUGAAAAGAGCAAUUUGCUCGAAGAGGGGUCCGGGCCUGAUUAGCUAGUUGGUGAGGUAACGGCUCACCAAGGCUUCGAUCAGUAGCCGUCCUGAGAGGGAGCACGGCCACACUGGAACUGAGACACGGUCCAGACUCCUACGGGAGGCAGCAGUGGGGAAUUUUUGGCAAUGGGCGAAAGCCUGACCAAGCAACGCCGC